rnacentral:rRNA from 1 species
AUUGAACGCUGGCGGCAUGCCUUACACAUGCAAGUCGAGCGGCAGCACGGGAGCAAUCCUGGUGGCGAGUGGCGAACGGGUGAGUAAAGUAUCGGAACGUGCCCAGUCGUGGGGGAUAACGUAGCGAAAGUUACGCUAAUACCGCAUACGAUCUAUGGAUGAAAGCGGGGGAUCGCAAGACCUCGCGCGAUUGGAGCGGCCGAUAUCAGAUUAGGUAGUUGGUGGGGUAAAGGCUCACCAAGCCGACGAUCUGUAGCUGGUCUGAGAGGACGACCAGCCACACUGGGACUGAGACACGGCCCAGAGUCCUACGGGAGGCAGCAGUGGGGAAUUUUGGACAAUGGGCGAAAGCCUGAUCCAGCCAUGCCGCGUGCAGGAUGAAGGCCUUCGGGUUGUAAACCGCUUUUGUACGGAACGAAAAGGUUUGGCCUAAUAAGCUGAGCUCAUGACGGUACCGUAAGAAUAAGCACCGGCUAACUACGUGCCAGCCGCCGCGGUAA